CGUAUUUAGUACUGUGAGACUCGCUCUUAUAACUCGCUCAAAGCCUGAAAGAAUAACGGGUGGGUAACGCGAGGGAAUCUGCCCCUCGGUUCGGAAUAACAGUUAGAAAUGACUGCUAAUACCGGAUGAUGACGUAAGUCCAAAGAUUUAUCGCCGAGGGAUGAGCCCGCGUAGGAUUAGCUAGUUGGUGUGGUAAAGGCGCACCAAGGCGACGAUCCUUAGCUGGUCUGAGAGGAUGAUCAGCCACACUGGGACUGAGACACGGCCCAGACUCCUACGGGAGGCAGCAGUGGGGAAUAUUGGACAAUGGGCGAAAGCCUGAUCCAGCAAUGCCGCGUGAGUGAUGAAGGCCUUAGGGUUGUAAAGCUCUUUUACCCGGGAUGAUAAUGACAGUACCGGGAGAAUAAGCCCCGGCUAACUCCGUGCCAGCAGCCGCGGUAAUACGGAGGGGGCUAGCGUUAUUCGGAAUUACUGGGCGUAAAGCGCACGUAGGCGGCUUUGUAAGUUAGAGGUGAAAGCCUGGAGCUCAACUCCAGAAUUGCCUUUAAGACUGCAUCGCUUGAAUCCAGGAGAGGUGAGUGGAAUUCCGAGUGUAGAGGUGAAAUUCGUAGAUAUUCGGAAGAACACCAGUGGCGAAGGCGGCUCACUG
rnacentral:rRNA from 1 species